rnacentral:rRNA from 1 species
CACUAUGCUCAGCCAUAAACUUUGAUAGGCCAUUACACCCCCUAUCCGCCCGGGAACUACGAGCACUAGCUUAAAACCCAAAGGACUUGGCGGUGCUUCAGACCCACCUAGAGGAGCCUGUUCUACAACCGAUAUCCCCCGUUGAACCUCACCCUCUCUUUGUUCUUUUCCGUCUAUAUACCGCCGUCGUCAGCUUACCCUGUGAAGGACUAAUAGUAAGCAAAAUUGGCAAAGCCCAAAACGCCAGGUCGAGGUGUAGUGAAUGAGAGGGCAAGAAAUGGGCUACAUUUCCUGGACCAGGAAACACGAACAAUUCUUUGUGCUGAAAAACACAUUUGAAGGAGGAUUUAGCAGUAAGCGAAAAUUAGAGCGUUUCGCUGAAAUUGGCCCUGAAGCGCGCACACACCGCCCGUCACUCUCCCCAGCAAUAUUCAUGACCCAUACUUAAACUUUAAUAUCAAACAUAGGGGAGGCAAGUCGUAA